AAUGUGAAUUGCAGAAUUCAGUGAAUCAUCGAAUCUUUGAACGCACAUUGCGCCCCUUGGUAUUCCGAGGGGCAUGCCUGUUCGAGCGUCAUUUCACCACUCAAGCCUCGCUUGGUAUUGGGCGCCGCGGUGUUCCGCGCGCCUCAAAGUCUCCGGCUGAG
rnacentral:rRNA from 2 species